AGACGCAUGCGAUGUUUACCCGUGCGUGCAUGGGACAUGCGUUAAAACUGCAAGAAAACGAGUUUUUUGCAAGUGCGAUGAGAAUCACAAAGGUAUUUCCUGCGAUGUUCCAGUGGAUAAAAUUCCAGAAAACAAAACAGAAAUCACUGUCGUUCUGAUUAUUCAAGGAGUUGUGCUAAUUUUAACAGUGGCUUUGUUAACAAUUUUUAUCUGUGUAUACUGCAGGAAGAAAUGCAGGAAUAAGAAGAUAAAGAAAAUCGAUACAGUUUCGUGAAAAUAAUUUUAAAGGAAAUCCGAGAAUGAAAGAAAUAAGCAUGAUAUGUUUUAUUUACAAGUUUUUUUUUAGUGUUCUACAUAUUAAUGAACAUGCGAAUUAUUACGCUAUAAAAAUGUGUUAAUUACAUGAUUUAUACACUGUUUCAUUUAAAAUAAUAAAAUUUCCCUGCAAGCUAAAAAUUGUAAUAAAAUUCAUUAUCUUGUUAUAUAAUAAAUUUCAUUGUCUUUCUGAUAUUGUCAUCUCAAUAUUUAUUUUGUUUCUAUAGUAUUAGAAGGAAUCUGAGAUUUAUAUAUUUUUUUUUG